AUUGAACGCUGGCGGAAUGCUUUACACAUGCAAGUCGAACGGUAGAGGGGGCAACCCCUUGAGAGUGGCGAACGGGUGAGUAAUAUAUCGGAACGUGCCCAGUCGUGGGGAUAACGUAGCGAAAGUUACGCUAAUACCGCAUACGAUCUAAGGAUGAAAGCGGGGGACUCGCAAGAGCCUCGCGCGAUUGGAGCGGCCGAUAUCAGAUUAGGUAGUUGGUGGGGUAAAGGCUCACCAAGCCAACGAUCUGUAGCUGGUCUGAGAGGACGACCAGCCACACUGGAACUGAGACACGGUCCAGACUCCUACGGGAGGCAGCAGUGGGGAAUUUUUGGACAAUGGGCGCAAGCCUGAUCCAGCAAUGCCGCGUGCAGGAUGAAGGCCUCGGUU
rnacentral:rRNA from 1 species